CGGAGAGUUUGAUCCUGGCUCAGGACGAACGCUGGCGGCAUGCCUAAUACAUGCAAGUCGAACGAACUUUCCUUUUGAUUGAUGCUUGCAUCAUGAUUUAGAUCUAAGUGAGUGGCGGACGGGUGAGUAACACGUGGGUAACCUGCCCAGAAGUGGGGGAUAACAUUUGGAAACAAGUGCUAAUACCGCAUAACAACAUUAAACACAUGUUUUUUGUUUAAAAGAUGGUUUUGCUAUCUCUUCUGGAUGGACCCGCGGCGUAUUAGCUAGUUGGUGAGGUAAUAGCUCACCAAGGCGAUGAUACGUAGCCGACCUGAGAGGGUAAUCGGCCACAUUGGGACUGAGACACGGCCCAAACUCCUACGGGAGGCAGCAGUAGGGAAUCUUCCACAAUGGACGAAAGUCUGAUGGAGCAAUGCCGCGUGAGUGAAGAAGGUUUUCGGAUCGUAAAACUCUGUUGUUGAAGAAGAACAUAUGUGAGAGUAACUGUUCACGUACUGACGGUAUUCAACCAGAAAGCCACGGCUAACUACGUGCCAGCAGCCGCGGUAAUACGUAGGUGGCAAGCGUUGUCCGGAUUUAUUGGGCGUAAAGAGAAUGUAGGCAGUUCAUUAAGUUUGAAGUGAAAGCCCUCGGCUCAACCGAGGAAGUGCUUCGAAAACUGGUGAACUUGAGUGCAGAAGAGGAACGUGGAACUCCAUGUGUAGCGGUGGAAUGCGUAGAUAUAUGGAAGAACACCAGUGGCGAAGGCGGCUUUCUGGUCUGUAACUGACGCUGAGAUUCGAAAGCAUGGGUAGCAAACAGGAUUAGAUACCCUGGUAGUCCAUGCCGUAAACGAUGAGUGCUAAGUGUUGGA
rnacentral:rRNA from 1 species